GUGUUGGUUUCAUCCAGUUCACUAAGUUGGGGCACGUAUUCCGGACGUAUUUCAGUUGCUUGUAAUUCGGUUGAUAUUAGUACAUAAUAUAUGGCCUGACGAUUGUGGUCAAAAAUGAAAGUCAAAGAGUUGUCAGCAGUUAUAAGUAUAUUAUCGUUAAUAAAGUAUACUUUAACAUUAGAUGUUUGUAGAGAUACUGACAACAUCAACUGUCAAUCAUGUGGUAAUACUGUAUAUCCUAUAGACCAGUUUUAUAGAGAGAACUGUAUGAGAUCAUGUGGUGUUUGUAUAGAUACAAACAUUGCUACUGGCAAACCAACGGGACAAAGUUCAGCAUAUUAUUCCAGAUCAUCUUCAAGUAACGCUGUAGAUGGUAGUACUGAUAAUCAUUGGGAGAAUGGACACUGUUCACAUACAGACAAUAAUGAUGGUAGUGACUGGUGGUGUGUUGAUCUACAACAGAUUUAUAAUAUAAACAUGAUUAAACUAUUUAAUAGAG